GACAGAGAGAGAGAGACAGAGAGAUAUAGAGAGAGACAAAGAGGCAGAGGAAGAGAGAGGUUUUUAGAUUGUGCGUUUUUUUUUUUUGUUUUGUUGGGCCAGGAGGGUAUCUGGUGGGGCGAUUCAUGAAUACCCUAUUCAUUAAUCGAUUGAUCUAAAUAUGAAUGAAUAUAUUAAUGUUCGUUUUGGUGUGUUCUUGAUGAAUGGAAAAGGUUGAGGGAUAGAAGAGUUUUUUUUUUUUUGUU
rnacentral:ribozyme from 1 species